rnacentral:tRNA from 1 species
GGUUUGUGGCUCAGUGGUAAAGCACUUGCCUAGCAUGUGUGAGGCACUGGGUUCGAUACUCCGCACCA